rnacentral:tRNA from 1 species
GCGGGAGUGGUGAAAUGGUAGCCACGCGGCGUUUAGGUCGCCGUGCCUUCGGGCGUGCGGGUUCGAUUCCCGUCUCCCGCACCA